CCAACUCUCCCCAGUCUGCACUGCCCAGAUGGUGUGCGUGCCAGUGGGGGAGAGCCGGAGGAGUCCUGCUCCUGUGUAACACUGAGGGGGCAGGCUGCCCUCUGCAAACGCAGUUGAUGAUGGAAUCGGCAAAAUGAAGGAAUAAAGCAGAAGAAGCAAUGAUGAAUAUUAGCCAUUAAAGCACAGGCGCUGCUCGUGAUACCGUCCC